rnacentral:rRNA from 1 species
CCCUUAGAUGUUCUGGGCCGCACGCGCGCUACACUGAUGCAUUCAACGAGCCUAUCCUUGACCGACAGGUCCGGGUAAUCUUUGAAUCUGCAUCGUGACGGGGAUAGAUAUUGCAAUUAUUAAUCUUCAACGAGGAAUGCCUAGUAGGCGCAAGUCAUCAGCUUGCGUCGAUUACGUCCCUGCCCUUUGUACACACCGCCCGUCGCUCCUACCGAUUGGGUGUGCUGGUGAAAUGUUCGGAUCGGCCGUUUGUCGCGGUUUCCGCGUCAUGUGGCUGAGAAGUUCAUUAAACCCUCCCACCUAGAGGAAGGAGAAGUCGUAACA